AACGAACGCUGGCGGCAUGCCUAACACAUGCAAGUCGAACGAUUGCCUUCGGGUGAUAGUGGCGCACGGGUGCGUAACGCGUGGGAAUCUGCCCUUAGGUUCGGAAUAACAGCUGGAAACGGCUGCUAAUACCGGAUGAUAUCGCGAGAUCAAAGAUUUAUCGCCUGAGGAUGAGCCCGCGUUGGAUUAGGUAGUUGGUGGGGUAAAGGCCUACCAAGCCGACGAUCCAUAGCUGGUCUGAGAGGAUGAUCAGCCACACUGGGACUGAGACACGGCCCAGACUCAUCCGGGAGGCAGAAGGGGGAAAUGUUGGAAAGGGGGCGCAAGCGUGACCAACCAAGGCCGGGGGAGUAAUAAGGGCCUUGGGUUAGAAAAGCUCUUUUCCCGGGAAAGAUAAUGCCUGUCCGGGGAGAAAAAGCCCCGGCUACCUCCGUC
rnacentral:rRNA from 1 species